CAAAAGGCGAUCGUUUUAUUUCAUUAACCUGAAAAUCCUAGUCAUAAAAAAUGCCUCAAGCCAUGAGGCAUUUUUU
rnacentral:sRNA from 1 species